rnacentral:rRNA from 1 species
AUACGGAGGGAGCAAGCGUUAUUCGGAAUCACUGGGCGUAAAGGACGCGUAGGCGGGUUUGUAAGUCAGGUGUGAAAUCCUACAGCUCAACUGUAGAACUGCACUUGAAACUACAGACCUAGAGUACGGAAGGGGCAGAUGGAAUUAGUGGUGUAGGGGUAAAAUCCGUAGAUAUCACUAGGAAUACCGAAAGCGAAGGCGAUCUGCUGGGACAUUACUGACGCUGAGGCGUGAAAGCGUGGGGAGCAAACAGGAUUAGAAACCCGAGUAGUCC